rnacentral:rRNA from 1 species
GACGAACGCUGGCGGCGUGCUUAACACAUGCAAGUCGAACGGAAAGGCCUGCUUUCCCUUGUGGAUUGCGGGUACUCGAGUGGCGAACGGGUGAGUAACACGUGAGUGAUCUGCCCCCAACUUGGGUAUAAGCCUGGGAAACUGGGUCUAAUCCCCGAUAGGACUGCAGGGUGGUGCCUGUGGUGGAAAACGAUUUUCUAGUGGUUGGGGAUGAGCUCGCGGCCUAUCAGCUUGUUGGUGGGGUAAUGGCCUACCAAGGCGGCGACGGGUAGCCGGCCUGGGAGGGUGGACGGCCACAUUGGGACUGAGAUACGGCCCAGACUCCUACGGGAGGCAGCAGUGGGGAAUAUUGCACAAUGGGCGGAAGCCUGAUGCAGCGACGCCGCGUGGGGGAUGACGGCCUUCGGGUUGUAAACUCCUUUCGACCGCGAGGAAGCCACCUGGUUGGAAGGGUGGUGACGGUAGUGGUAGAAGAAGCACCGGCUAACUACGUG